UACGUAGGGUGCGAGCGUUAAUCGGAAUUACUGGGCGUAAAGCGUGCGCAGGCGGUUUUGCAAGCCGGAUGUGAAAUCCCCGGGCUCAACCUGGGAAUGGCAUUCGGGACUGCAAGGCUGGAGCGCGGCAGAGGAGACUGGAAUUCCUGGUGUAGCAGUGAAAUGCGUAGAUAUCAGGAUGAAUACCGAUGGCGAAGGCAGGUCUCUGGGCUGACACUGACGCUCAUGCACGAAAGCGUGGGGAGCAAACAGG
rnacentral:rRNA from 1 species